GGCCAUAGCUCAGUGGCAGAGUUUCUGCCUUGCACACAGAAUGUCCCAGGUUCAAUUUCGGCAUUUCCAGGUAGGGCUG